rnacentral:rRNA from 1 species
UCGUUGGGUGUGUAAACCCAGAGGCGUAAUCAAGGUGAAGGGAAGACUCUUCCCUAGGGAGGAGAGGGGCUCCCCUAAUCCGGCGACCCCUUGCACUCCCGGGGCGUCUCUGGCUCAUCGCGAGCGGAGGCGCACCUAGAGCGUUCACGUUGGGACCCGAAAGAUGGUGAACUAUGCCUGGCCAGGACGAAGCCAGGGGAAACCCUGGUGGAGGUCCGUAGCGGUUCUGACGUGCAAAUCGAUCGUCGGAGCUGGGUAUAGGGGCGAAAGACUAAUCGAACCAUCUAGUAGCUGGUUCCCUCCGAAGUUUCCCUCAGGAUAGCUGUAGCCCAGGAGUGGGACGAGUCUCAUCUGGUAAAGCGAAUGAUUAGAGGCAUUGGGGUCGAAACGACCUCAACCUAUUCUCAAACUUUAAAUGGAUGAGAACCCCGGCUUGCUUGAUAUAUUGAAGCCGGGGCUCGGAUC